AGUAGGUGGGGUAACGGCUCACCUAGGCGACGAUCCCUAGCUGGUCUGAGAGGAUGACCAGCCACACUGGAACUGAGACACGGUCCAGACUCCUACGGGAGGCAGCAGUGGGGAAUAUUGCACAAUGGGCGCAAGCCUGAUGCAGCCAUGCCGCGUGUAUGAAGAAGGCCUUCGGGUUGUAAAGUACUUUCAGCGGGGAGGAAGGGAGUAAAGUUAAUACCUUUGCUCAUUGACGUUACCCGCAGAAGAAGCACCGGCUAACUCCGUGCCAGCAGCCGCGGUAAUACGGAGGGUGCAAGCGUUAAUCGGAAUUACUGGGCGUAAAGCGCACGCAGGCGGUUUGUUAAGUCAGAUGUGAAAUCCCCGGGCUCAACCUGGGAACUGCAUCUGAUACUGGCAAGCUUGGGUCUCGUAGAGGGGGGUAGAAUUCCAGGUGUAGCGGUGAAAUGCGUAGAGAUCUGGAGGAAUACCGGUGGCGAAGGCGGCCCCCUGGACGAAGACUGACGCUCAGGUGCGAAAGCGUGGGGAGCAAACAGGAUUAGAUACCCUGGUAGUCCACGCCGUAAACGAUGUCGACUUGGAGGUUGUGCCCUUGAGGCGUGGCUUCCGGAGCUAACGCGUUAAGUCGACCGCCUGGGGAGUACGGCCGCAAGGUUAAAACUCAAAUGAAUUGACGGGGGCCCGCACAAGCGGUGGAGCAUGUGGUUUAAUUCGAUGCAACGCGAAGAACCUUACCUGGUCUUGACAUCCACGGAAGUUUUCAGAGAUGAGAAUGUGCCUUCGGGAACCGUGAGACAGGUGCUGCAUGGCUGUCGUCAGCUCGUGUUGUGAAAUGUUGGGUUAAGUCCCGCAACGAGCGCAACCCUUAUCCUUUGUUGCCAGCGGUCCGGCCGGGAACUCAAAGGAGACUGCCAGUGAUAAACUGGAGGAAGGUGGGGAUGACGUCAA
rnacentral:rRNA from 1 species